rfam:Nomascus leucogenys chromosome 10, whole genome shotgun sequence.
GCCUAGUGCAGCGAUACACAUCCGUGGUUCCAACUACUCGGGAGGCUGGGGUGGGAGGAUCACAUGAGCCCAGGAGUUCUGGGCUGUAGCACACUGUGCUGAUUGGGUGUCCACAUUAAGUCUGGCAUCAAUAUGGUGACCUCCCGGGAGCGGGGAACCACCAGGUUGCCGAAGGAGGGGUGAACCAGCCUAGGUUGGAAAUGGAGAUGGUCAAAACUCCAGUGCUGAUCUGUAGCAGGAUCAUGCCUGUGAUCCCGCUACACUGCACUCCAGCCUGGACGACAGAGUGAGACCCUGUCUCUA